rnacentral:rRNA from 1 species
AUUGAACGCUGGCGGCAGGCCUAACACAUGCAAGUCGGACGGUAGCACAGAGGAGCUUGCUCCUCGGGUGACGAGUGGCGGACGGGUGAGUAAUGUCUGGGGAUCUGCCCGAUAGAGGGGGAUAACCACUGGAAACGGUGGCUAAUACCGCAUAACGUCGCAAGACCAAAGAGGGGGACCUUCGGGCCUCUCACUAUCGGAUGAACCCAGAUGGGAUUCGCUAGUAGGCGGGGUAAUGGCCCACCUAGGCGACGAUCCCUAGCUGGUCUGAGGAGGAUGACCAGCCACACUGGAACUGAGACACGGUCCAUACUCCUACGGGAGGCAGCAGUGGGGAAUAUUGCGCAAUGGGCGCAAGCCUGAUGCAGCCAUGCCGCGUGUAUGAAGAAGGCCUUCGGGUUGUAAAGUACUUUCAGCGGGGAGGAAGGCGAUGUGGUUAAUAACCUUGUCGAUUGAUGUUACCCGCAGAAGAAGCACCGGCUAACUCCGUGCCAGCCGCCGCCGUAA